rnacentral:snoRNA from 2 species
CAUCUCUCAGGGUUGCACCUAGAGAGUUCCCAGUCCUCUACCAGUCUCGACUAUGGGAGAGAGAGUCAAGCAGAGGCCUGUCCAUUCCAUUUCUAGCUUGGGCAGUGGCUAGCGAGUGGAAGGCAAUCUGAUACAAGU